rnacentral:rRNA from 1 species
UGGGGAAUAUUGCACAAUGGGCGCAAGCCUGAUGCAGCCAUGCCGCGUGUGUGAAGAAGGCCUUCGGGUUGUAAAGCACUUUCAGCGAGGAGGAAGGUGGUGAGCUUAAUACGCUCAUCAAUUGACGUUACUCGCAGAAGAAGCACCGGCUAACUCCGUGCCAGCAGCCGCGGUAAUACGGAGGGUGCAAGCGUUAAUCGGAAUUACUGGGCGUAAAGCGCACGCAGGCGGUUUGUUAAGUCAGAUGUGAAAUCCCCCGGGCUCAACCUGGGAACUGCAUUUGAAACUGGCAAGCUAGAGUCUCGUAGAGGGGGGUAGAAUUCCAGGUGUAGCGGUGAAAUGCGUAGAGAUCUGGAGGAAUACCGGUGGCGAAAGGCGGCCCCCCUGGACGAAGACUGACGCUCAGGUGCGAAAGCGUGGGGCAGCAAACAGGAUUAGAUACCCUGGUAGUCCACGCUGUAAAACGAUGUCGAUUUUGGAGGUUGUGCCCUUGAGGCGUGGCUUCCGGAGCUAACGCGUU